rnacentral:rRNA from 1 species
GGAGGUAGUGACAAUAAAUCACAAUGCGGAACUUUUAGUUUUGCAAUUGGAUUGAGAACAAUGUCCAAAUGUUAUCGAUAAACAAUUGGAGGGCAAGUCUGGUGCCAGCAGCCGCGGUAAUUCCAGCUCCAAUAGCGUAUAUUAACGUUGUUGCAGUUAAAAAGCUCGUAGUUGAAAUGUGGGAUGAAGUAUAUAAUGAAUUUCUAAUUCAAUUGUAUAUUGAUUCCCCUCUCCAAUUUAUUAUUAUGGGUAUUAAUUUAUUUGUAAUAAGAAUUGGUCAUUUACUGUGAGAAAAUUAGAGUGUUCAAAGCAGGCAUUUGCUUGAAUAGAUUAGCAUGGAAUAAUACUAAAAGGCUUUUAUGGUCGAUUUAAUUGGUUUGUUCAUAAAAGCAAGAUUAAAAGGAACAGUUGGGGGUAUUCAUAUUCAAUAGUUAGAGGUGAAAUUCUCGGAUUUAUGGAAGAUGAACAAGUGCGAAAGCA